rnacentral:misc_RNA from 1 species
GAAAAUAUUGAAAAAAAAUUAUAAUUUUCAAAACAACAUUAUUGAUGUUGGUUUUAUUAUUAUGAGUUUUCUAUCCCGUUUCGCUGAUCUCAUUUGUCAUCUAAAAAUUUGUCAAAAUUUGCAUUUUGAUACGAGCAAACCUUUCUCAAGGCAAACUGAAAACACAACAAAGAAAACAAUCGGAAAACAAUGCACAAAUUUAUUGCUUCAACCAGCAACGGAGGUGAGGUCUUGGUUAAAUUCAUUCAAUACGAUCAUAGCAGACGGCGAAGGUGUUCUCUGGAUCUACGACAAACCAAUACCGGGUGCAAUUGAUGCUCUAAACCAAUUGAAAGCAAGCGGAAAGCAAAUCUAUGUUUGUACAAAUAAUUCCACACAAACGCGUCAACAACAUACUUUUAAAGCAGAACGUUUGGGUCUCAAUAUACGUGAAAAUGAGGUGCUUUGUACGGCGCAUGCAACAGCGCAAUAUUUAAAAGAUUUGCAAUUUCUUAAAUAUGCAUAUGUUAUUGGCGCUGAAGCGCUCACCACCGAAUUAGAUGCGGCUGGUAUAGUUUUACAUAAUGACAGCGGGCCAGACAUAAUGCAUGAAGCAGUUGAAAAGUUUGCGACAGAAUUCCGAAAGGAAGCGAAUGUGGGUGCAGUCAUUGUUGGUUAUGACACACAUUUCAGCUUUUGUAAGUUGGCUAAAGCUGUGACUUAUUUGAAAAAUCCGGAUUGCUUAUUCCUUGCCACCAAUAAGGAUGCAAGUUCAUCUACAGGUGAUAUGGUGUUACCGGGCACAGGUAGUUUUGUUGCGGCUAUUGAGUAUUGCACCGGUCGAAAGGCGUUCGUUAUUGGGAAACCUAGUGCAAAUAUGUGCACGGAAUAUAUUCAAAACGGUCUGAUACAACCAGAAAAUACUUUAAUGAUAGGUGAUAACUACCAAACGGAUAUGCCAUUUGGACACAAUCUUGGCUUUCAAACACUGCUAGUUGGUACGGGUACACAUACGUGGAGUGAUGUGCUGCACUUGAAGAAGUUGAACGGUAAUUUGGUAAAGCAUUUCAUGCCAGAUGCAUAUAUACCGAAAUUGGCCGAUUUGAAAUACUUCCUGCGUCGCUAAAAUGUUAACUGCAAAACUCUUCAUAAAUAAUCGCCAAAUAUGCGCUUUCAUCGAUUAACGAUUACAUUUUUUAUAGCCAAUUUGCCAAAUAAUUUGUUUAGAGAAAAGUGAUGGGAAGCAAAAACUUAUAAAUCACAAGAAACGCAAUGUCAUUAAACACCAGAGAAGAGAGCGCUGUUAAAUUUUAGCGGAGUAUACGUCACUUGAAAUUUGAUGAAUGGAGCAAAAGCAAGUGGAAAAGCUGAAAACGCAAACGUCAAUGUCAAACAGAUACGCGGGCUAUUGAAGAAAACGUUUCCUUAUCACUGCCAGAGGGAGGUGCGCUGAACUCUUGGAUGAAAACUGUUUGCGGCAGAUUUAGUGGUGGAAGCGAAAGUGGCGACAGUAGUAGCGGUAAUAUUGGCAGUCAAUAGAACAGUCAACGCAGUGUAUUCUACGCCUGUGGUUGUGUGCAUUUAGUACAGUGGACACGCAAAGGAUUAAUAAUUGUACGUCAGUUUAGCGACGCUUAUAUACUAGCAAUACGGGUAACAGAGGCUAUAGCGUACUUAGUAAACACUAU